rnacentral:rRNA from 1 species
GACGAACGCUGGCGGCGUGCCUAAUACAUGCAAGUAGAACGCAGUUGCGAACGGGUGAGUAACGCGUAGGUAACUGCCUCAUAGCGGGGGGUAACUAUUGGAAACGAUAGCUAAUACCGCAUAUUGUGAGAUGGACCUGCGUUGGAUUAGUUAGUUGGUGAGGUAAAGGCAAACCAAGGCGACGAUACAUAGCCGUCCUGAGAGGGUGAACGGCCCCCAUGGGGAUGGGAAACCGGCCAGGCUUCCACGGGAGGGAGCCAGAGGGGAACUUCGGCAAUGGACGGAAGUCUGGCCGAGGAACGCCGGGUUAGUGAAGAAGGUUUUCGGGUCGUAAAGCUCUGUUGUUUGGGAAGCGGUAACUAACCAGAAAGGGACGGCUAACUACGUGCCAGCCGCCGCGGUAAUUC